rnacentral:rRNA from 1 species
GACAGAGGGGGCAAGCGUUGCUCGGAAUCACUGGGCGUAAAGGGCGCGUAGGCGGGAUGGCAAGUCGGUCGUGAAAUCUCUCGGCUCAACCGAGAAACGUCGGCCGAUACUGCCGUUCUUGAGGGAUGCAGAGGAGACUGGAAUUCCCGGUGUAGCGGUGAAAUGUGUAGAGAUCGGGAGGAACACCGGUGGCGAAGGCGGGUCUCUGGGCAUUUUCCUGACGCUGAGGCGCGAAAGCGUGGGGAGCAAACGGG